CUCCCCAUCUGUCAGCGCCGCGCUCGCAGUGGGUUCGGCGUCCGGGAGUCCCGGGUCAAGGUGGUCGCGCGGCGCAGAGUUGCCGAGCGAGCGGGAGCGGGCGGUGGAGGCCUGGCCGUGGGCGCGCGUCUCCGCACUCUGGCGGGUCGCCGCGGACGGCUGGCACCCGUGCCACUGGGGAAGACAGCGUCGGGACUCGAACCACCCAGGGGACUGAAUUGCAACGGCAGAAGCAAUAAAUGACUCUUUAAAGAUGCCACAGGACUGCAGAAAGUGAAGGGGAACCAAGAGAGGAGGAUGAAGUGAGAAAAUGUUUUUCCCAGGGACAAGAAGCUUAACAAGGAAAAGAAGCUUUCUGCAAAUAACUGAUAAAGCCACCUUUAGAAGCACUUCUCAGGCCCUCAUGAAGUAGCUGAAAUUUGUACUGCAAGGCCCUGCUUGCCUGCUGAUCACCCAGAGUGAUUGUCACCAUGGCCAGUAAGAGGAAGUCCACCACCCCAUGCAUGAUCCCAGUUAAGACCGUGGUGCUGCAAGGUGCCAGCACAGAGGCCCAGCCUGUGGAAACUUUGCCUGAAGGUCCCCAGAAGGAACUUCCCUCAGAGGCCCCUGAUGCCAGCAGCGAGGCAGCUCCAAACUCCAGCAUCACUGAUGCCUCUACCCUGGCAAAUGGGCACCGGAGCACUUUGGAUGGCUAUGUGUAUUCCUGUAAAGACUGUGACUUCAGGUCCCAGGACAUGACCCAGUUUGUAGGGCAUAUGAACUCAGAGCACACAGACUUUAAUAAAGACCCACAUUUUAUAUGUACAGGGUGCAGUUUCCUGGCAAAAACCCCUGAGGGGCUUUCCUUACACAAUGCCAAGUGUCACUCAGGGGAAGCCAGCUUUUUGUGGAAUGUGACCAGGCCAGACAAUCAUGUAGUGGUGGAACAGAAUGUCCCUGAGAACACUAGCACAUCUGACCUAGCAAGUGAGUCUACUACUGAUGGGACUGAUGGACAGGCUGAAAUCAUUAUUACCAAGACACCAAUCAUGAAGAUAAUGAAAGGCAAAGCUGAAGCCAAGAAAAUUCAUAUGCUUAAAGAAAAUGCUCCCAAUCAGCCUGUGGGUGAGGCCUUGCCAAAGCCAUUGGCUGGGGAGGCAGAGGUUAAAGAGGGGGACCACACUUUCACCAAUGGGGCAGCUCCAGUCAGCCAGGCACCUGCUAGCUCCUCAAAGCCCACUCAUGCUGCCAAUGGGCCCCUGAUAGGAACAGUGCCAGUACUGCCAGCUGGUAUAGCACAAUUCCUCUCCCUCCAGCAGCAGCCCCCAGUACAUGCCCAGCACCAUACCCACCAGCCCCUGCCCACAUCCAAGGCCCUUCCGAAAGUCAUGAUCCCCCUGAGCAGCAUCCCAACAUACAAUGCAGCUAUGGACUCCAACAGCUUUCUGAAGAACUCCUUCCACAAAUUCCCCUACCCAACCAAAGCUGAGCUCUGUUACUUGACUGUAGUGACCAAGUAUCCAGAAGAACAGCUUAAGAUCUGGUUCACAGCCCAGAGGCUGAAGCAGGGAAUCAGCUGGUCUCCUGAGGAGAUUGAAGAUGCCCGGAAAAAGAUGUUCAAUACAGUCAUCCAGUCUGUGCCUCAACCCACUAUCACAGUGCUAAAUACCCCCCUUGUUGCCAGUACCGGCAAUGUACAGCAUCUCAUCCAGGCCACUCUCCCAGGCCAUGUUGUGGGACAGCCAGAGGGCACAGCAGGGGGCCUCCUGGUCACUCAGCCAUUGAUGGCCAAUGGGUUACAGGCAUCAAGCUCGUCUCUCCCUCUGACAACUGCAUCUGUUCCCAAGCCAUCUGUGGCACCCAUCAACACUGUGUGUUCAAAUACAGCAUCAGCUGUAAAGGUAGUCAAUGCAGCCCAGUCACUCCUCACAGCAUGCCCCAGCAUAACUUCCCAAGCCUUCCUUGAUGCAAGCAUCUACAAAAACAAGAAGUCUCACGAACAGCUGUCAGCCCUUAAAGGAAGCUUCUGUCGGAACCAGUUCCCUGGGCAGAGUGAAGUAGAGCACCUGACCAAAGUGACAGGCCUCAGUACCAGAGAGGUGCGGAAGUGGUUCAGUGACCGGAGAUACCACUGCCGGAACCUUAAGGGCUCCAGGGCCAUGAUGCCUGGAGAGCAUGGCCCCGUUCUCAUUGACUCUGUGCCAGAGGUGCCCUUUUCCCUGCCAUCCAAAGUUCCGGAAGUGACCUGUAUCCCAACAGCAACCUCACUAGCAAGCCACCCUGCCACCAAACGACAGUCUUGGCACCAGACCCCAGACUUCACGCCAACCAAAUACAAAGAGAGAGCCCCAGAGCAGCUGCGAGUCCUGGAGAGUAGCUUUGCACAAAACCCGCUUCCCCCUGAGGAAGAGCUGGACCGCCUGAGAAGUGAAACCAAAAUGACCCGAAGGGAAAUUGACGGCUGGUUCUCAGAGAGGCGGAAAAAAGUAAAUGCUGAGGAGACCAAGAAGGCUGAUGGGCAGGUACCUCAGGAGGAGGAGGGUGCUGAGGAUGAGGGUGGAGACGAAGAGCUGGCCAGUGAGCUGAGGGUUCCUGGUGAAAAUGGCUCUCCUGAAAUGUUUCUUAGCCAUACCUUGGCAGAGCGGAAGGUCAGCCCCAUCAAAAUCAACCUCAAGAACCUGCGGGUCACUGAAGCCAGUGGCAAGAAUGAGCUUCCAGGGCUGGGUGUCUGUGAGCCCGAGGAAGAUGGCUUGAACAAGCUAGUAGAACAGCCACCAGGCAAAGUGAGCUACAAAAAGACAGCACAGCAACGCCACUUGCUACGGCAGCUCUUUGUCCAGACACAGUGGCCAAGCAACCAGGACUAUGACUCUAUCAUGGCCCAAACAGGACUGCCCCGGCCAGAGGUGGUACGCUGGUUCGGAGAUAGCAGGUAUGCCCUGAAGAAUGGCCAGCUCAAGUGGUACGAAGACUAUAAGAGGGGCAACUUCCCACCAGGUCUGCUCAUCAUUGCCCCUGGCAACCGAGAGCUGCUGCAAGAUUAUUACUUGACACACAAGAUGCUGUGUGAGGAAGACUUGCAGACCCUCUGUGACAAGACCCAGAUGAGUGCCCAGCAGGUCAAGCAAUGGUUUGCUGAGAAAAUGGGUGAAGAGACCAGGGCUGUGGCAGAUACAAGCAGUGAGGACAAGGGCCCUGGUACUGGAGAGCCUGUGGCAGUUCAUAGAGUGCCGGGUGAUGCCUAUUCAGAGAUGGCUGAGAACAGUGAAUCAUGGGAGCCAAGUGCUCCUGAGGCCAGCUCAGAGCUCUUUGACACUUCAAGUCCCCAGACUGGACGUCAGCUCGAAACAGACUGAAUUUGAUCUGAUUACUGUGAAGGACCGACCAGUCUGGGAUGCUGUCUACCAUGUGGAAGGGCCAAACCUGCCAUGCAUCAUUUUGAUGGACAGCUGCCAGGCACCCAAGAGAGACUCUGGAGGCCUCACUGAGCCUGGAACCUGCCACUGCCCUAACCACCCUCUGCCUGAUAUUUCUAAGCAAGUAGCAAGGGGUUCUCAUGAGCCCAUCCUUCCACUGUGCAGGACCGCUCCUUUGCUUCCCGGGGACAAAGAGUUCAGAUUACAUAGACCUAGACCCAGAAUCAAGUUUUUAGCAUAUACAGCUGCCUAUAUACAUUUAAUAAAGCAUCCAACUACAGACACUCUCAACCCAUAGGAACUCGGGUUAGCAAAGCAGUACAGCUCUGACAAUGCCAUGUCUGUUCUCUGGGAAGUUGAGACUAUAGGGGCCUACAUCUUCUGCAGCAGCAGGAGUUACGUGUGUGCUCAGAACUGCUUGAGGCCCAGUCCUUCUUGCCUUCUCAAGGGAACAGAACUGUUGAAGAGACCCGCAACAUUGAGUGGAGGCAAGCCAGAUUUUGUGCAAGGCUUGCCUGUGUUCUGGUUGACAGAGCCUGCUGUUAUCCUCAAUUCUGAACACAGCCCAGCUAUGAGAUUACUACUGGAUGCUUAUCACUCUUGUUAGUUAACUGUAAUUCUGAUUUUUCAUGGAGCUUGAAUCAUGGACCAACUUCUCCAUUAUCAGAUCAGCUAAAGAAGCCAAUUUUGUAAAGCCUAAUGUACUGGCCUAUAUGCUCCCUUCAGCCCUUCAAUUCCGACUCCUUUAGAGAGAAAGGAAAGUGGGCAUGGUAGAGCCGGUUGCUAUGGCUUUGGCCAUCAUAGUGCUCUCAAUGCCUCCUGCGGGUCAGAAGGAAGUACACUGUGGCUGGUAGGAAGAGUGAGGCUGAAGGGUGUGGGAGUUUUUAAAUGACCAGAGCUGGAGUGGUCUUGAAAACAAAGACCUGCCACACACCAAGGGCCUGACCAACUACUGGUUUCGUAAUCCAGAGGUGCUGGACAUCACUGGAUAGGUUCCUGUGAGGUGUUUUUAAAGUUUGAAAUUUAUAUUCCCAACCUGGGAAACAAGAACUUACUUUUGCCUAAGCCUUGUGUCCUUUAGAUUAAAAUCACAAGAAAAGGUGCCUUUGAAACAAUGGAAAACUUGCUUAUGGAGCUGUACUAAAUAUUAAAGCCCCAGUGUCUCCAAGGCUGGCUUCUCCGAGAGCAGUGGAUAAAGCAGGGCAGGGGAGAGACAAAGAUGACAAGCAGGAUGUGUUAUCCAUGACCCCACUUACCUCUUGGAAACUCCACCAGUAGAGCCACAGGCAGAGCAAGAAUUUUGACCAAGAAACAGCGGUUAACUUCUAGGUGUUGUCUUGGCUCCCCUCACAGGGAGCUAUAGGCUUUACUUAGUCCGAGGAUGAGCAUGGCAGCCUUCAGCCUUCUAGGAAAGAGGGCUUUCUCUGGAACCCAAAGCCCUGGAACCAUUAUAAGAUGUUUCUCUUGCCUUUCCUGUCCCCAUAGGGAUGAUUUCACAUUUGUCUCAGAUUGGGUUUUUUUUUUUUUUUUUUUUUGACUACUUGGCAAGUUUUGCAGUCUAUUUUUUGUAUCCUUUCUGUUUGGGGAGAGAAAUUAUUUGGCCCCAAACCUCGAGGAAUUGGAAAGAAUGGUGAGUGACUGUUUUCCUUCAGAGAACAGACAUCUGAAAGUUUUCCUUCAGUGUUUGUUUACGUGCAGAUCGGCAAAUCCACAUAUACAGUACACAUACUUAUUUGAUACUUACACAAACACAUCUCAUAUACACAUGAGCUUCAUGUGGAUGCCCGAGGGGAAAGUAGCCUGUAUGUGAAGAGAUGACAAUACACUGGGCAGCUGGAGCAGCCGAGGAAGCCAUCUUGUCUAAGAAAGCACCUGUGUCUCACCUGAGCCCAGAUGCCUGCUGGCUUCACCUAUACAGCCCUGCUGCACUAGCUGAAUGGUAGAGUCUAUGAAAAGGUCUGAACAAUUGACAAGGAGCAGAAACACUAAAUUACUUGGUGGACACAGAUAGCAGCCUGGGCUCGGGCACCAGGCAGUCUUCUGGAUGGGAAGUUGCAGUAACACUGGCCCAGCACUCCUUUCUCAGAGCUGGUGAUGGCAAGACUGCCCAGGUAAGAAACCCAACAGAUGAAAUGGACCUUGUUUCUUCCUUUGCUUUGGGAUGGGGGAGGGAAGUUGUGGCUUGGACCUUAGGCUGGUAGGUAAUGAUGAGGGAGGUGGUCAUGGAGCAGGUGCUUCAGAGAAGAGCUCUGGGCGCCAAGCAGGAGUGCACUGGCAGAGAAGUAGGGGUGUAAGUUGACGGCUACCAGGUCUGUGGCUGCUAUGUGACAGAUCACAGUGGCCUCGUACAGUCAGAGGGUCAAGUUCUCUGUGUUGUCAGUAGAAGGCUAGCUGUGGGCUGCAGAGGUGGGAUGCAGUGUGCUUCUCCUGACAAAGCUUGCACUGGCAGAUGAGUCUUGCCACAUCCUUUGCACUCACCACUCACUUGGACUUACAGAGGCAGUAAAUGCUAAGUGUUCUCUGUUGUCUGCAUUAUGUUUUUUUUUCUACUUACACGGGGUUGCAAGUUCAGUUUUAAACCAGAUCCCAUUCUAUCAGAAAUCUGAACUAUAUAGGUUUUGCAUAUUAUUUGAUCAAAAUGUUUUUUGAUCAUAGAGAUUUUUCUUUUGGGAAUUGGGUGUGUCAGUGUGGGAAGUCCUUUCCCUGGAUGGCUUGCCAGCACUUUGAGGUCACUAGUGACUGCUCUUCUACUUUUCUCUUGGCUGAGUGGCAGCAGCUUUCAGGUGAACAGAAUACCUUAGCCUGAGGCAUCCCUCCCUCUGGAAGCAGAAUAAUUGAGUGAGACCCAGUAGACACCUGCCUGUGUCCUCCAGUCUGUCCCCAUCUGACCUUGAAUGUCUCCUACCCCGAAGCUUAGCACUCCCCAGGCCCAGAUAGCUCUCAGAGGGUUUACUUACUCUGUCAGUAGCUGUGCCACACCUGUGCCCCUUCCUCCUGUCCCCUAGGACACCUGUUACACAGCUGCCUUGUGUGGAGCAUGGGAGGCAGCCUUUCCGGUUAGAGUCUCUUGCAUUGUCCCCCAGGUGACUGUUAAGUUAUCCCUGUCUUGAGCCAUUGCCUUUCAUCUUCCUAGUCUCUGUAUGGACCAAAAUCCUCAGAUUGGAGCAGCUCAGUCAGUUCAGAAAUGAGCUAAGAAGAAAAUCCUAAAACAAAACUUAGAAUGUGUUUUUCCUAAAGCCCCCACCUUUACUGGCUGUUUCCCAGAGAAUUUGUAUCACAUUCAUUCGCAAGGCUCAUCUGUCUGAAAGUCUUCUAGAUACACGAAGGCCUUUGGUUAGCUCAUCCUGGCCAAGGUUUAGCAGGGUGCCUGGUUUUCCUUACUCCAGACUAGAAUCCCCUCUUCAGCAUCCCUAACUUAGCUCCCUGUUCUUUUUCUCAAGAGCACACUGCUCACCACUAUCCUGCCCAGACCUUUAGUGGGUGAUUUCCUUGUGUUCUAGCACUGGAGCCCACAGGUUUUCUCUCAGCAUAGCCCUUCCCUAGACUUCAACCUGAAUUCGCCACACUGCAGUUUGUUCUGCCUUGGUUCAGUGGAGCAAAUGACUGCACAGUAUACUCCAGGGCUCAUGAGGCUGUGGGCCUUCAGUGGAACAGCCGGGUUUGGCACUGACUGAGUGUGUGACAGACCUGAUCAGACUGCUCGCUGUUUGGAUCGCUACCUGGGUUAUCAAAAGAAAUACAAAUGGAACUGAGUUCUCAGAAUCCAUUUUUGCUGCAGUCUGUGUUCCUAGUGCCUGGCCACUUAAGGGUGGCUGUGUGGAGUGACAAACCUACGUGCACUCAGAGCCCAGAGCCUGCACUUGGUCAUGAAGCUCACUGGGUCUAUGGUCUUAGGACUGAGAACUGGCUUUGGUGUCUGAAUGCUUGUCAACAGUAGCCAGCAAUCCUAUGGACAUGGUCCUCUAGACUUGAAAAAUAUAGGCUUUUUUUUUUUUAGCUCAGGUCUAGUAGGAACAUCUCUCCUCAAGCCCUCUGAAGCCUGGAGCAAGGGUGGAAAUGAGACUAAUCAAACCCCGGUUGCCGAGGGACAGAAAUCUGAUAAUGGACAAGUUGAACGAGAAGUGGUUGUCCAGUUUCCGUCCUCAGCUGAAGUUCAGGUAGUCAGGUUCACCUGAAGAAUUGAAGAGAUGAAACUGAUCCUUAAAUCUGCUCCACUGAGGGAAGGAUCAAAACAGAGCUGGAAAGGAAAUGCGAUAAUGCGCCAAAACAGUGAACCACAGUCUGAAGCUGCUCAAGGAAGGCAGAGCUGAGCCUCUCCCGGAAGACUUGUCCAGGAAAUAGAGGUAUCUGCUGAGAAUUAAAGUGCCUAGCAGCAAGCAAAGACUACCACACAUCAACACUGAGGACAAGCAGACAUAGCUCCUAUGUUCUCCUGGGCCACAGACAGACUCAAGUGUGAACUCAAAGCUCCUGAUAUAUCCCACCCACUGUUUUUGUGGGGGAGGAUUCUUCCCUUAUACGCUAGUAUAGGAAAACUUUACAGUACCUCAUGUGGGAUCCCUAACCAUAAAAUAAUUACUUUGCUAUUACUUAACUAAUUUUGUUACUGUUACGUAAUGUAUGAUAUGUAAACCCCAAAGGGGUCAUAACCCACAGGUUCAGACUACUGCUUUAGAUGACCACUACAGACCAGCCAGCACUCAGGUGCUUAGUGCUGUGUGACCCGAGCAGCUAGUUCAGCAAAGGGUGUACACUGCUCACUGGGCCAUAGUUUUUUGUCCCGCUCCAGGAAAACGCUGUAAGAGAGCCCUGGGAAUAGUCAGGCAUUUUGAGCAGCAUGUUGUAAGCACAGAGGCUGGCAGGUAGACAGGCAAGUAGAGUAGCAACUGUCAGCAUAUAUCCAAACAUUACUUUUUAAAAACAGGUUUCUGUGCAAUAGAGAUUGAACUUGCUCCUAAGUGGGGUGAACUUCAGCUGUAUCAUUAGAAGAUGAAGUGGCAGAGGUGACCUCACAUUUCAGAGACCCAUGGAAGAGCUUCCUGUUUCAGCAGUCUCCAGGAAUGCCAUACCAUAAUUGCUUCUAUUCUCAAUCACUCACCAUGCUUUCCUGAGCCCCCAAGAAACAAACAAGUUAAAAAGGACAUGAGGAUGAUUUAUUUGGCAGUCAGAUCUUAAGAGGGCAGCAGAACUAGCAAAUGGCCAACCCUGAGCCCAAAUGUGGGCAGUGGGUUUGCGUGUGCUGAAUGCUGGCUAUGCUGAGGCACCUUUAUGCCCACGGGCCUGGACCCCAGCCUCUGUUUUCAGAGGUGAGGCUGCCUUCCCAGCCUUCCCAUCUCCUCUGCAUCUUUUUACCAGAUGCCUAGCAGCAGCUUCAUUCGGUACCUACUGCCUUACUCCACCUCCCUAUUCUUCAUUUCAUUACUAAGGGAAAGCAUACUGAGUCUUCCUUGCCAUAAAACAAAAAAGCUCACCAGGGUAGGUGUUGCUCUUCUCUCUCUUCCUGCACCCCAUAGAACAGCUGUUUCCAAAGGCUCUAUGCUGGGGCUCCCCUUCCAGGGUGAGGGGCAGGACUGAAUAACUUAGUUACAAUACCACCAAGAAGAGGAAAAAAUAAUACUGCUAUUUUUUUUUUUAUCAUGAUCCCCUGUAUCUUUCAGGCUGGGUGGCAUCCCCAGCCAUGGGCAGUGUGCCCUUGUGCUGUGUCUUCCUCCUCAGGCAGGGCAGACUUCUCCUCAGGCCCUGCAUUCUUCUGUCCUGGCUCCAUCCAGGGCCAAACUGCAGGGCAUCUACUCUUUCACCCUGACCAGCUGUGGGUUUAAAGCUACAGGACAAUGUAAACUUUGUUUCCCUAGCCCAGCAAGGCUCUUCUUCCUCCUCCACUCUCAGGAAUGUCAGCAGCUCCUUGAAGCCUCCUCUGCCACCAAUUGUGGCAACUUCUCUCUCCAAGGGGCUUCAGCCCUGAUCCUGGCCCAAGAUGGAAGGACCCACCUCCAAAUUCAAGGCCAGAUAUGUGUGC